rnacentral:rRNA from 1 species
GACGAGGGAUCCUAGCGUUGCUCGGAAUCAUUGGGCGUAAAGCGGGUGUAGGUGCGUUGACAAGUCAGGUGUGAAAGCCCAGGGCUCAACCCUGGAAGUGCAUUUGAAACUGUCGAGCUUGAGUGCUAGAGAGGUUAUUAGAAUACCUGGUGUAGUGGUGAAAUACGUAGAUAUCAGGUGGAACACCGGAGGCGAAGGCGGAUAACUGGCUAGACACUGACACUGAGACCCGAAAGUGUGGGGAUCAAACAGG